GGCUGUAUGGCAUAACGGUAGUGCCGUCUAUUGGAACUCACAAAUAGUCAUACACCUUGAAAGUGGUUGCGGAGGAACGUAGUUCAAAAAGGUCUGACACUUGGUUCGAGUCCAAGUGCGGUCG